rnacentral:lncRNA from 1 species
AGUCCAGCUCUGCUCCACAACUUCUCUAACUCUGCGGUUGUAAUCCCUUUUAUUCUCACUGAACAUCCGAGCUGCUUCCGAAUUUGCAGGUGAAUUGGGGUUAGGAUCACACAGCAAUGACUGCAACAAUAAGAGUGUCAGUCAUUCGCAAACAAGAAACCCAUGGUUUAAUUUUUUAAUUUUUUGUAACUCUUCUAUUUUUCAAAUUUCUUUUAUUUGUGGCCAAGUACGAGAGAGCCAUAGUUUUAAUCAAGCUUUUAAUAUUCCACUGUAUGUAUGUCCCCAGUAGGAUAUACUAAACGGCUUAGCUUAACUCUCUUGACUCACUUUUUACGGAUUAUCAUCUUGCCCUCUCACCAACUUUGCUCUCUGAAAUGACCAUCCUAUGUGUAUAAUCCAGCACCACUACCACCCUGUCUCCUCUCCAUCUACCCAGCAAAGGAUAGUCCAAAUUAAUGAACAAAUUUCAAGCAAGAUCCUUAUAAGCAAAUUGAGGUCUACCAACAGCACUAUUUCCCUGCUGCAGUACAGCAGAGUUAAAAUGCUUAAAACUAAGGAGUGCAAAACCUUAAGUGCGUACUCUUCACUUAAGGUUAGGAAGCAAUAAUUGUUUGACACAGAGCUUCCAUCAAGAAUCUGGCAAAGUAGGAGGACAAUAUGCCUAGAGUCUUAAGGGUAUGCGUAUCAUCCACGUAAUAAAAAUUUCUACUUCUGCUUGGGGAUCUAUGCCUUGAACUGCGACUCCAAGUAAUCUCAGAGAGACAUAUGCACACACAAAUACAUUAAGAUAGGGAUCUAAUAUCAUUUUUACUCGGCCAAGAUAAACCUUUACCCUUGUCAACAUCCAAAUACACACAAGAAAUUGGUCACCUCAUUAAUGGAUGUACUUUUCAUGCAAUAUAUUCAAGCACCAACAUCGUACACGAUUCUAAGUUUUUUCUCUUCUUUUUUUGGGUGGGUCUUGAGUAGCGAGAGGAAUUCAUGUAAAGUUAAACACCAGUAGUUAUGGAUUGAGUAAACAUCUUCAUGCAGAAUAUUACUUGCACCUGAUAAUAAGUUGUACGAAAUUCACUUGCGAUCAUAGCUGUGAAUGACACAAAAUAUGAGCGUAAUAUCGAGUUAAGGUUAAACAAACAUACAGUUUCGCUCCAUGAUCCAGCAGCUGUGGCAAUCGACAAUUAAGCGUGAAGUACACAAUCUCUAAUUACCAUGUACUCUCAAUACCGGGAGACCUAAUAGAGAUGAGUUAUCACACCCCGUUAACUACGUAUUAAAGAAAGGAAAAUAUGCUUAGGGUUUUUCUUACAAUAACUAAAGAAGGGAAGUUGGUCUGUGUUUAUAGAGAAGCUUCAGGCCUAUAAUUAAUUGGGUCUCACUUAUCUACACACACAACUCAAUUAGAUGAUUAGGCUUUAUAUAUCUUAUUUACGACUUGGGUCAAGCCACUACCCUUUUCUGUCAACAAACCAAUCAAUGUACAGUCCAAUUCCAACAUUCUCCACUUGGACAUCGUUAUUGAAAGUAAGAACAAUAUUUGGAAAAAUUUAGAUUUAUGAAAAAUCAUUUUAGAAAAGAAACAAGACUUUAUAGCGACCAUGUUGCUAAUAUAAUCGGGGAUAGAAUGGCUCUAAUAAUUCAAGUUCCAAUUGAAAACACUAACAGUGAACCAUAGAAGACACUAUUUCAAGGUAUGAAUACUAUAUAUGAUCACAAAAAUUGCAAUUUCCAUCAACAUGAAUGGAUCAGGCAUGUUUACUAAGUAUAUUAUCCUUUCUAAUCAAGACGAAUAGAACAGCUCCUGGAAAGCUUUUAUUCUCCAAGUGACAUAGAAAACAUAUCAGCUCUAAGAGAUUUCUCUUAUGCCUAGAUAAUCAAGGUAACAAGCCACAAAACCCAACAUUACCAUGAGUUUAACAAUAGUUAAUCGGAGACAAUAAUGAAGCAUUACUCUCAGUAUAUACAUGACAAGCAUCAAUUAACACAAGAUUGAAUAUCAGGAAGGUGAUAUGCAUUAAACAACAACUGCAAGUCAUAUUCCAAUGACACUUCCCGAAUAGGCAAUUCAAGAUUUAAACUUGAUGGGUUCAACUUUUAAGGUUCUUAGCAUUGAACUCAUUACAACAACAACAACAACAACAACAACAACCCAGUAUAAUCUCACUAAUGGGGUCUGGGGAGGGUAGGUUGUUUCCGAUAGACCCUCGGCUCUCUCCCUCCAAAAACUCCCCACUUUGCUCUUGGGGUGAUUCGAACUCACAACCUCUUGGUUGGAAGUGGAGGAUGCCCACCACUAGAGCAACCCACUCUUGUCUUAGCAUUGAACUCAUUGUACUUCUAAAAACCAUGGAUUCAGAAUUUAAUAUUCGUUAAAAAAUUUAGUAGUUUUUCAUAUAAAUCUAUGCUCCGUAUAACAAAUAUUUGGUUCAAUGGAAGCCGUAGAUUACAACUCCAUCUGCCACUACUUUCCACUAACCAAAGACAUCAAAAGACUCAUAUUCUUAAGCAUGUUAUUUAAAAACUAUUAUUCCCUCCGUUCCAUUUGUAUGCGAAUGUGGUUGACUGGAAUUUUUGAAAUUAUAUAAAACUUUUGACACGUGAGCCAAAUAUAUGCAAAGUAGCAAAAGUAUUCUUUUAGACAAGUGGUGGUGAGAGUUCCAAAUGCCUUUUCAUUUUCUCUUUCCUGAAGGAAUGAACAAUGUAUAUCAAAUGAGCACCAAUAAGUCAUGUCAUCAGGGGAAAAACGGGAAUGCUACGAUUAAAUAGUCUCCAAAAAGAAAAGGAUGCCAUUCUGUCAGCGCUCUGUGCUACUCUUCAACGUCCCCUUUGGUUUUAAAUGCCUAUUUAUAAUCACUAAGGUAAAAUUUAAAAGAUAAAUCAACAAACUCCCAUACUCCAUGGAGCACUUCUGACCCUCCAUCUCUUCAUAUAAUUUUUCAGCUCAUAGAGAGACUCGUAAACUCCAAUGUAGACUAUGAAACAAGACUCUCAUUCUAUCUCCUCAAUGCAAACUAUUAUUAUUAUUAUUAUUAUUAUUAAAUUUUUUUUAUAUUAAUUUAUUAUAAACUCGGUACCAAGCUGGUACUAAAAGGAAGAAAAGAAAAAGAAAUCCUCAACGCCAGUUUUCAAUACAUGGAGAGCCUAAACUCCAUAUUGAUAACACAUGGAGCAGAAAAAGUACUUGACCAUGUGAUAAUGGAUAUUUGGACUAAUUAUUUUGUCUGAUUGAGCCUUUGGACAGUGGCCCACUAGAAAGGAAUUUUGGCAUUGGACAAAAGAAAAAGUUAGGUAAAUAAUUGUACAUUGGCCUGAUAGAUUUUAUAUAUAUACAUAGAGAGAGAGACACACAUUCACACAUUGGCUUCUGUUACAAGUGUUUUUCUAUUAUCAAAUUUUCCAGAAACUUUCUUUGACUAGACAGUGUUGUAGACAUUUCUAGACAAUCUAGAACUAUAAAACCUGCAGUUCUAGGUAAAUAUGCUUGAGAAACAAUCUAUGUGAUUUUUUUACCAAUUGCUUCAUCACCAUAUAUAAACAACAGAUCAGAGGGAAAAUGAGCAAUAUGGAAUGUAAAUGUAGCUAUGUAGCUCAAAAGUAAAACAAAGGGAAAUCAAGCUGUCACAAGGAUGAUGUCUCUGACUCUAUAGAAUCAAGCUACUGCUUGCAACUCAUAAUUCUCAUAACAUAGCGAUGGUUUCAACCAUCGGCUUUAACAGUAAAGCUCAGGGCAAAACAACUGUAUCCUUAUGCAACAAGACUUCUUGUUUGUUUUUUCCUAGACAUGGCUAACUGAAAAAAUGUGACAUCUAAAAAUCAAUUACCGCCCUAUACCUGAAUGGAUGUAAGUAUAGCUGCAACAUCAUAUAUUGGACUCCAUUGAUUUUGAAGAAUAUCCAAACAUAUACUUCCAUCUGCAUAAACUGGAAAAAACCAAAAGGUAAAUUCCAGACUUAAAAUUGACUUUCCCUAUUCUCUGAUUUAACAAAUAAAAAUUAAAUCUUCCACUCCAACUUACUGUUAGGAUGAAACAUGCGAGAAACAAACCGCACGGUUGGUGGCUUAUUGGGGUAAUCCUCAGAGAAUUGAAGUGUCAGCUUGAACGUACCUGAUGCUCUCAAAUGGUACAGUUACAAUCAAACUAGCUAAUUCAUGUCAGAACAAAGAGAAUUUUGAUAAAUAAAUACAAUUCAUAUUAUGUCGGAAAGAUGGAAAAAGUAACAAAAGCUACCGGAAAGCAUAGAGUAAUACACGACAAAAUAAAAGCAAAUGGAAAAGACAUGAGUGGGAAUGCUUGGAGCCUUGGACUGGGAGAACAAAGAAAGGAUUCAAGCAUUUACAACACUAGAAUACGUAUCACCUCCUUUGAUGAUUGAUGCCAUUUCAUCAGAAUUUUUCUUUCCGUCAUUGUGUCCGGGGAAGGGACAAGGAUUAAGAAAAGGAAACGGCUGAGAUGAUUAAAAAAACAUUGAAUUGUAUAGACAACUAAGCAUUAAACAGUAGACGUGCGCCAACUACUACGCUUUAACAUUCUUCUUCCAUUCUGCACUAACAACCGAAUGCAAGGAUAACUCACCACC